rnacentral:rRNA from 1 species
UACGUAGGUGGCAAGCGUUGUCCGGAAUUAUUUGGGCGUAAAGCGCGCGCAGGUGGUUCCUUAAGUCUGAUGUGAAAGCCCACGGCUCAACCGUGGAGGGUCAUUGGAAACUGGGGAACUUGAGUGCAGAAGAGGAAAGUGGAAUUCCAAGUGUAGCGGUGAAAUGCGUAGAGAUUUGGAGGAACACCAGUGGCGAAGGCGACUUUCUGGACCGACACUGACGCUGAGGCGCGAAAGCUAGGGGAGCAAACGGG